rnacentral:rRNA from 1 species
UACGUAGGGUGCAAGCGUUAAUCGGAAUUACUGGGCGUAAAGCGUGCGCAGGCGGUUAUGCAAGACAGAUGUGAAAUCCCCGGGCUCAACCUGGGAACUGCAUUGUGACUGCAUGGCUGGAGUGCGGCAGAGGGGAUGGAAUUCCGCGUGUAGCAGGUGAAAUGCGUAGAUAUGCGGAGGAACACCGAUGGCGAAGGCAAUCCCCUGGGCCUGCACUGACGC